rnacentral:rRNA from 1 species
AUUGAACGCUGGCGGCAUGCCUUACACAUGCAAGUCGAACGGCAGCACGGGUGCUUGCACCUGGUGGCGAGUGGCGAACGGGUGAGUAAUCCAUCGGAACAUGUCCUGUAGUGGGGGAUAGCCCGGCGAAAGCCGGAUUAAUACCGCAUACGAUCUACGGAUGAAAGCGGGGGACCUUCGGGCCUCGCGCUAUAGGGUUGGCCGAUGGCUGAUUAGCUAGUUGGUGGGGUAAAGGCCUACCAAGGCGACGAUCAGUAGCUGGUCUGAGAGGACGACCAGCCACACUGGGACUGAGACACGGCCCAGACUCCUACGGGAGGCAGCAGUGGGGAAUUUUGGACAAUGGGCGAAAGCCUGAUCCAGCAAUGCCGCGUGUGUGAAGAAGGCCUUCGGGUUGUAAAGCACUUUUGUCCGGAAAGAAAUCCUUGGCCCUAAUACGGUCGGGGGAUGACGGUACCGGAAGAAUAAGCACCGGCUAACUACGUG